GAUCACUGCAGGAAUAGACAAGGACCAUCUAUCGGCAGACCACGUAUGUGUAUGGGAAUAAGGGGAACCUGGGAAUGAGGGGAACCCACAAGUCGUGAGGCGACGUCCUGCGCUAGGCAUAGCCAUUGUGCUGCCCUUGGGUAGUGAGCUCACAGGUUAGGUUAGGUUGCCGGCUGGGGUAGAAGAAAAGCUCCCGGGAGGGAGUUCCUACAAAGGGGACCUGUAAGUCGUAUGCGUGGGAAAAGAGGAAUAACUCUCGCCUAGGUGGUUGGUAACAGCGGAUUUUGUUAAAUGACAGCGUGGAUUUUUGUGGCAAUCAUAGCAGGAGUCACAGGUUGUAUAAUUUCUAUUACCAUCUGUUGUAAAUGUUCGGUACGGUGUGUUUCAACUACAGAUGCAUUCAAAACAUUCUUUCAGGCGUUUGAACUCAGACUGUACUUAAGCCGGCAUUUGUGUGUGUGUGUGUGUGUGUGUGUGUGUGUGUGAGUGGGACGUGGCAGAGCCAUGAAGUGAGUGUGGAGUCCCCAGUCCGUGGUUCCGUUCUCCCGCGAGGGAAACGGCCGGAGAAGGAUGAAGCGAAAGACGAUUCCUUGUGUUGUCUGUCAGCUGUUUGUCUGUAUUUUAUCGACUGGAAUAAGGAUGGGAGUUUGUACUCCAUAGAUUGGGAAGAGGGACCAGAGGAAAGGUGUACAUUCCACCCGACAAAUGAAUGUUGGCCCGUUUCUGUUAUGCUGUGUUUAGUGUGUGAUGAGGUGUACCGGGGCUGGGGCAUCAUUUGUGUCCACAGUGCCAUUGUGACUGAUGGACGGAGCGCUGGGGAUUAGUGUGGGGAAAUUCUGGAGUAUGGAGAAUUACUUGUGGAAAUCUUAAGGCGGUAAUGAACCGAUAAGAAUUUUGUAAACCUCAUGGGAGGCUCCCAGGGGAAGGAAAUUCCCAAACAAACCCCUUUGGGACGCGCAUUGGCACAUUGGUGGGAUAUUGCAGGGGAACCUGGAGGCACCCUGAGUAAGAAAACUUUAAUCAAGUAUUGCAAUCAGUGGUGGUUCAUCUAUAAGUUAGAAGAUGAUGAGAAGCG
ensembl:lncRNA